rnacentral:misc_RNA from 1 species
GAUGAAGAACGUAGUGAAAUGCGAUAAGUAAUGUGAAUUGCAGAAUUCAGUGAAUCAUCGAAUCUUUGAACGCACAUUGCGCCCGCCAGUAUUCUGGCGGGCAUGCCUGUUCGAGCGUCAUUUCAACCAUCAAGCCCCCGGCUUGUGUUGGGGACCUGCGGCUGCCGCAGGCCCUGAAAACCAGUGGCGGGCUCGCUAGUCACUCCGAGCGUAGUAAUACAUCUCGCUCAGGGCGUGCUGCGGGUUCCGGCCGUUAAAAGCCUUAUUUUACCCAAGGUUGACCUCGGAUCAGGUAGGAAGACCCGCUGAACUUAAGCAUAUCAAUAAGCGGAGA